CUGGCUCAUAUCCAUGGCAGGUGGGGUUCCCGCUCUGUGCUUUGGAGACCCCCUGCCUCUGUCUCUGUACAGGGGAGCUUCUUCCUUUGUUCUUCCCACUUCUAUCUUGCCUACUAAACUCUGGGCUCCUUAAAACCGCUCCACGUAUGUCCGUGUCGUUUUGUCUAAGCUGGCAUGAGGACCAAGAACCUUGGUGUUCCUCCACUCAUCGGAGCCGUAUCAGUAAGUUUUUGUUGAAAGCCAGAUGCCAGGUAAAAGGAACUCAGGUUCAAGAGGUACACGUGCAAUUUUCCACAUGGGCAAAUUGCAUGUCGUGGGGCUUUGGUGUACGGGACAUUUU
rnacentral:lncRNA from 10 species